CUGGGAUAUUAACUAAUCUGCCCCCACCUCCACCCAAACAUACAGCACACACAGCCCAUAAGCAGCACCCACACACAUACAUCACCCUCGCUCACACAGCACCCACACACACCCAGCACACUAACAGCAUCCUCACAAACACACAAAACCCACACACAAACAGCACCCUCACACACAAACAGCACCCUGACAAACACACAACACACUAACAGGACCCGAACAAACACGCACACACAAACACACACAGCACACUACCAGUUCCCACACAAACAGCACCCUCACACACAGCACACUAACAGCACUCUCACAAACACACACAAAAACACCCUCACCCACAUAGCACAC